rnacentral:rRNA from 1 species
UACAGAGGGUGCGAGCGUUAUUCGGAAUUACUGGGCGUAAAGCGCGCGUAGGCGGUCUGUUAAGUCUGCUGUGAAAACCCAGGGCUUAACCCUGGGCUUGCAGUGGAUACGGACAGACUAGAGGUAGGUAGGGGAGAAUGGAAUUCCCGGUGUAGCGGUGAAAUGCGCAGAUAUCGGGAGGAACACCGGUGGCGAAGGCGGUUCUCUGGGCCUUACCUGACGCUGAGGAGCGAAAGCGUGGGGAGCGAACAGG